CAAAAGAUGGAAGAACGCUUUUGAGCCUCAGAACUUCGUGUGGCCGAAAUGAGAGCCCAAUUGACUAAGUUUUGGCCCAACAACUUGAUGCUCUUCAGCGCGUCUCGUUGCCCGUCUUCAGUGCUUGACAGACGGCGGCCUCCACCCCAACGCCCAACUCUACAAACGUCGCGACGGCGCUAAUCCUUGGUCUUGUAGUUGUUCGAUUCCAAACCCCAUCCUGCCGUUCCUUCUUCAAUCCACAGUGGGUUGUACUCCCAAUUCUUCGGAUUCAAAUCGAGACGCGAACUGGUAAAUAGGAGGAUUCAAAUUAGCAGGAGCAGGGGAUAAGAUUUGCAGCAGAUCGAAGUAAGUAACCGCCGCCUCCGCCGAUGAGCACGGCGGCGGCGAAGAGCCCCGGCGGGGAGGAGGAGGCGAACCCGCGCGCGGAGGCGUUCCUGGAGAUCAUCGGCCGCGUCCCGACGGGGGAGGUGGAGGCGGCGCUGUCCGCCUGCGGCAUCGGCCCCACGGCGGAGGUCGCGGAGCUUGUGCUCAAGUCCCGCGUCUGCUACUCCCGCCCCAAGUCCGCCGUCCGCUUCUUCCGCUGGGCGGCGCAAUCCGUCGCGCACACCGCCUACGCGUGGAACCUCCUCGUCGACAUCCUCGGCAGGGCCGCCAUGUUCGAGCCCAUGUGGGACGCCAUCCGCUCCAUGAACCAGGAGGGCGGCGGCGGGCUCGUCUCCGUUGCCACCUUCGCCUCCGUCUUCACCUCCUACUGCGCCCGCGGCAACUUCAAGGACGCCGCCACGGCCUUCGAAGUGAUGGGUCGCUACGGCCUCAAGCCCGAUGCCGUCGCGCUCAACUCGCUGCUAUCGGCGAUAUGCCGCGUCGAGGGAGGCGCACAGGCCGCCCAGGACGUGUUCGAGCGCACCAAGGCCACAGUCCCGCCCGACGCCGACACCUUCGCGAUACUGCUCGAGGCGUGGGAGAAGGAGGGGAACGCGGAUCGCGCCAGGAGCGCCUUCACCGAGAUGGUCGUCCGCGUUGGUUGGGACGCAGCCAAUGUGCCAGCGUACGACUCCUUACUCUCCACGCUCGUACGCGCCGGCCAGUUAGACGACGCGCUCAAGUUCCUGCAGGUGAUGCGGAGCAAGCGCUGCUUCCCGGGGAUCAAAUUUUUCGCCAACACCAUGGAUAUUCUCUUCCGCAAGGGCGAUUACGCCAAUGCCAUAGCCAUCUGGAACAUGAUGGUCUCUGAAGCUGGCCUCGUUCCCAAUUUCUCAAUGUACAAUGCCAUGAUUGUCCUCUGCUGCAACGUUGGUAGCCUCGACUAUGCCCUUGGGAUGCUUGAUGGAAUGCCCCUCAAUGGUGUCUUUGCAAAUGCUGUCACAUACAAUGCCAUACUGGAGGGGUUCAUCAAACAUCGCAAGGCUCGUGAGGCUGAAAGUUUCCUAAAGGAGAUGAGCAAGAACGAGCAACUGCCUACUGCAUGCAACUGUGCUGCUGCUAUCAGCUUGUUCUUUAAGGAGUUUAAUCCAUCUGCAGCGAUCAACGUGUGGCGCUGUGUUGUGGAGCACAACAUUACCCCUGCUGAGGACUCUGCUAGAGAGCUAAUAGCAGGGCUGCUUGACUUUGGCAGGUUAACUGAGGUGAAGAAGCGUGCUGAAGAGAUGAUUGACAUGAGAGUUGAGUUGUCACAGUCCACCAUGGAGAAUAUGAAGCGCGCGUUUGCUAAGGCUGACAGGCACCAAUCAUUUGAUCACAUUGCAAGAAGGCUGAAGCGACGUUAGAUACACAUGAAUGGUUUAAUCAGCUGGCCAUCGACUCAUCGAAGCAUCAACAAGAAGAUCAUCAAUGAAAUGGUGCAUGUUAGGAGUUUUUUUUUUCCAAAAGGAAAAUUUGAGGAUUGUUUUCAAAAGGAUAUCCGAAGGACCUUGACGAAAAUAAGAGCCGAAGAUACAGAAUUUAAGGCACACCACGCAUCAUGAUGCAAAGCAUAGUACUCCCUCUGUUUCAAAUUGUAGGUCGUUUUGGCUUUUCUAGAUUCAUAGAUGUUUGUAUACAUUCUAGACAUACACUAUAUUUAGGGUGCAUACAAACAUCUAUGAAUCUAGAAAGCCAAAAUGACCUACAAUUUGGGACAAAGGGAGUAGGUGCCAUAUGCCCCACAUAAUCACUAGGGGCAAGGUUGAGGCUUGUGGCAAAAGGACGAGAAAGGGAGGGGGUAGCUUAGCAACCUCUUGUUUGCUCGUAGUUGUGGCUACCAUAGUUGUUGAUAAAUGAAGCUUGCACAGUUGUCAUCAUCACUAUGGAGAAGGAAGCAUGAAAGGACACAAGGGAGAGGGAAAUGCAUGAGCAGUGAAGGAAGGCAAGGGCGGUAGGUAGCAGGAGGCGAGGCAAGGGUAGGGCUGAAAGAGGGGACAAAGGCACUAGCAUGUAGCGAGGCAAAAUGGCGGGGCGGGAUUUGGCUACUCAUGCAUUGGCAAGCUUGUCUGCUCGCGAUUUGGCUAGGCGACGUGGACACGGAUCAAACAACCUUUAACCCUCUUCAACCUAUGUUUUUGCCACCCGCAACCCUCAUCCUUUUGCGGUGACUAUUCUUUGACACCAUUAUCGCAUACUAUGGAGAAGGAUCUUUAAUUCCUCAACCUAAGCUCCUCUUGCCCAACACGAAUCCGCGUUUAAAGUUGCUUGUAGGGAUGUUUAUGGCCCCAUUCUCCAUUGAGCAACUAACAUGUUAGGCGAAUGAGUGUGGGGCUUCCUUCGCCUCAAUGCGGCGCCUAACAGUGCAAACUUCCCUAAUGGAUAUAAUGGGUGGGGGGUGUUUUGGGGGGUUGAGGACAUCCUCUACCCUAGUUUACCAUAUACUUUCGGGGUUCCACAAUUAUGACAUGUUAGGAGCAUAUGUGAAGGUGCCCACCUUGGCGUCCUCAUCUUUCUUAUAUUUUUUAUGCUGCUAUGGAUUGUGAUUUAGCCUAUGUUACUAUGUAUGAUGGUCUUGCGCCAUAUUCUCAUCUUAGAAUUUUAA